rnacentral:rRNA from 1 species
CAUGCAGUCGAGCGGUAGAGAGAAGCUUGCUUCUCUUGAGAGCGGCGGACGGGUGAGUAAUGCCUAGGAAUCUGCCUGGUAGUGGGGGAUAACGUUCGGAAACGGACGCUAAUACCGCAUACGUCCUACGGGAGAAAGCAGGGGACCUUCGGGCCUUGCGCUAUCAGAUGAGCCUAGGUCGGAUUAGCUAGUUGGUGGGGUAAUGGCUCACCAAGGCGACGAUCCGUAACUGGUCUGAGAGGAUGAUCAGUCACACUGGAACUGAGACACGGUCCAGACUCCUACGGGAGGCAGCAGUGGGGAAUAUUGGACAAUGGGCGAAAGCCUGAUCCAGCCAUGCCGCGUGUGUGAAGAAGGUCUUCGGAUUGUAAAGCACUUUAAGUUGGGAGGAAGGGUUGUAGAUUAAUACUCUGCAAUUUUGACGUUACCGACAGAAUAAGCACCGGCUAACUCUGUGCCAGCAGCCGCGGUAAUACAGAGGGUGCAAGCGUUAAUCGGAAUUACUGGGCGUAAAGCGCGCGUAGGUGGUUAGUUAAGUUGGAUGUGAAAUCCCCGGGCUCAACCUGGGAACUGCAUUCAAAACUGACUGACUAGAGUAUGGUAGAGGGUGGUGGAAUUUCCUGUGUAGCGGUGAAAUGCGUAGAUAUAGGAAGGAACACCAGUGGCGAAGGCGACCACCUGGACUGAUACUGACACUGAGGUGCGAAAGCGUGGGGAGCAAACAGGAUUAGAUACCCUGGUAGUCCACGCCGUAAACGAUGUCAACUAGCCGUUGGGAGCCUUGAGCUCUUAGUGGCGCAGCUAACGCAUUAAGUUGACCGCCUGGGGAGUACGGCCGCAAGGUUAAAACUCAAGAAAUUUGACGGG